AUAUCUUAUAUAGAAAAAAGAACAACCUACGAAAACUAUUAGCUAAUCCACUAUACAAUUAUUUAAUUAUAUUUUAACUUAAAAUUAUAAAAAUUAGGGAAAAAUAUCUAAGAGUAUGAGAAAAUCAAUUAAAUAAUUUAAUUUAAGAAAAAGACAUACAAAAUAAAAGAAAAUUAUUAUUUAUACAAUUAAUUAUUUAAAAUUUUAUAAUAUAUACAAUUAAAUAAUAAAUCACUAUAAACCAUUAACUUACACUAAUUAUUAAGUGGACAUGUGGCAAAUUAAAAGCUAAGUGAUGAUGUGUCAUUCAUAUGAAGAGAGUUUGCCAAUUUUCAUAUAUAUGAUUACACCACAUAUAGAUAAUAUAUAAACUUAUGAUCUUUAUAUAUACAAUAUUUAUAAAAUUACCUACAUAUUUGUUAUUAUUAGUUAAUUUGUUAUUCUAAAUGAAAACUCAUGCUACGCAUGGGUUUUUGUUUUUAAAAUUGUCGGAAUAUAUGAUUAUGGUCUUUUGUUGAUUUUGAUGUUCAUUUUUGUGUGUGUGUUAAUGUGUAAGUAAUAAAGUCAUAUCUAUUUUAUAGAGUUAUAAUUUUUUAUAAUUAAAUUUUUCUAUAAUUC
rnacentral:sRNA from 1 species